UGGGGAAUAUUGGACAAUGGGCGAAAGCCUGAUCCAGCCAUGCCGCGUGUGUGAAGAAGGCCUUCGGAUUGUAAAGCACUUUAAGUUGGGAGGAAGGGCAGUAAGCGAAUACCUUGCUGUUUUGACGUUACCGACAGAAUAAGCACCGGCUAACUCUGUGCCAGCAGCCGCGGUAAUACAGAGGGUGCAAGCGUUAAUCGGAAUGACUGGGCGUAAAGCGCGCGUAGGUGGUUCGUUAAGUUGAAUGUGAAAGCCCCGGGCUCAACCUAAGAACUGCAUCCAAAACUGGCGAGCUAGAGUAGGGCAUAGGGUGGUGGAAUUUCCUGUGUAGCGGUGAAAUGCGUAGAUAUAGGAAGGAACACCAGUGGCGAAGGCGACCACCUGGGCUCAUACUGACACUGAGGUGCGAAAGCGUGGGGAGCAAACAGG
rnacentral:rRNA from 1 species